rnacentral:lncRNA from 1 species
GCUUGGAACAGUGCCUGAAAUUUUAUUUUGCAGCUGUGGGGAAUCAUUGCAUGGGGACAGUUUACAAAGAAGGGAAUUGUGUGGAAGUUGGGGGAGGGGCUUCUAUAAACACUUCCUUAAACCCAGUCCAAGUCCCAGGCCCUGAGGGUUGUCCUGCACCAGCACCUGAAUAAAUCUCGUGUUUUGGCAUUAGGCAUAUCUAGCCUUCUAUUGGGAAUGGUCCAAGUGCACUCCACUUCAAUAAAAUGCAUGUAAAACUCAGCAAAGAAAUAAUGAACAUCUACCAACAGAUGCUCAGCUUAAUGCUUGGGCCUGAUUUUUUUUAAAAGUACAAAUGAAGAAGAGGAGAUGCUUGUUACAGUUGGGGAAACUACAUUCUGUCUGGACAGAUGAGAUUAACAGCAGGAAACAUUACAGAAGAAUGCAAGAGAGUAGUAAGUGCUAAAUGGUGUGCCGGAGAUGAAAAGUGCUGCAAGAAUUCAGAGAAAAAGGAGGGGAGGGAGGCCGGAGAGAGGAAAGGCUUCUUAGAGGUGAUAUUAGGAGUUGGACUUUGAAGGGUGGGGAAGAUCUGGCCGGGAGAGGGAAGGGUGAGAUACGCUUAUCACAUUCCCAAAGGGGACCCAUUAAGGACCCUUUUAAGUAGGUGGCACCCUUGGGACAUGUAAUAAUGGACUCACUUUACAGUCACACUAGACUGACAGAAAAAGUGGGACUCUUCCUUUGUCCUACCACUAAGUGGCUGCAUCCCCUUGAUCAAAUUUCCUUCUAUUUUCUAGGCCUCUGUUUCCAUGUCUAUACAGUAAGAGACCUGAAUUCAACAACCUCUGAGAAAUCUUUUGCUCCUCUGAAUACAACCUUACCAGUAGCUAAGAUUCAAUAUGGGCAGGAACAUGGACUGAAACAUGAUGUUGAGGAGGAUUCAGAAUCUGCCUGCCAUCUCCUGGCUGUACCCUUAUGUAAUUCUCUUCCUUUCCUGGUGUGUGGGCUGAAUGUGCUGACUUUCUUCUAGAGAAUGCAGAAAAGGUGCUGGCAUGUUACUUCCGUUGUUAGCCAAUGAAACACUGUGAUUUCUGUCUUGCUACUCUUUCUACUUGCUUAUUUACCUUGAUGAAACAUGAAAUAAGUGCUAUAUUGUGAGCUGACCAAUGGACAGGUUCACAUGGCAAGAAAAUGAGGGAGGUACUGGUCAACAGUCUGUGAGGAACUAAAUCCCGUCAGUGGCCAAGUGAAUAAACUUGGAAGCAGAUCUGUCCGUAGUUCA